GACGAACGCUGGCGGCGUGCCUAAUACAUGCAAGUUGAGCGCUGAAGGCUGGUACUUGUACCAACUGGAUGAGCAGCGAACGGGUGAGUAACGCGUGGGGAAUCUGCCUUUGAGCGGGGGACAACAUUUGGAAACGAAUGCUAAUACCGCAUAAAAACUUUAAACACAAGUUUUAAGUUUGAAAGAUGCAAUUGCAUCACUCAAAGAUGAUCCCGCGUUGUAUUAGCUAGUUGGUGAGGUAAAGGCUCACCAAGGCGAUGAUACAUAGCCGACCUGAGAGGGUGAUCGGCCACAUUGGGACUGAGACACGGCCCAAACGCCUACGGGAGGCAGCAGUAGGGAAUCUUCGGCAAUGGACGAAAGUCUGACCGAGCAACGCCGCGUGAGUGAAGAAGGUUUUCGGAUCGUAAAACUCUGUUGGUAGAGAAGAACGUUGGUGAGAGUGGAAAGCUCAUCAAGUGACGGUAACUACCCAGAAAGGGACGGCUAACUACGUG
rnacentral:rRNA from 1 species